UAACCACUCAGGCUCUCGCUUGGUAUUGGGGUUCGCGGUUUCGCGGCCCCUAAAAUCAGUGGCGGUGCCUAUCGGCUCUACGCGUAGUAGUACUCCUCGCGACUGAGUCCGGUAGGUCUACUUGCCAGCAACCCGUAAUUUUUUAA
rnacentral:misc_RNA from 1 species